rnacentral:rRNA from 1 species
CGGACGGGUGAGUAAUGCUUGGGAAUCUAGCUUAUGGAGGGGGAUAACUACGGGAAACUGUAGCUAAUACCGCGUAAUAUCGAAAGAUUAAAGUGUGGGACCUUCGGGCCACAUGCCAUAGGAUGAGCCCAAGUGGGAUUAGGUAGUUGGUGAGGUAAAGGCUCACCAAGCCGACGAUCUCUAGCUGGUCUGAGAGGAUGACCAGCCACGCUGGGACUGAGACACGGCCCAG